rnacentral:rRNA from 1 species
GACGAACGCUGGCGGCGUGCUUAACACAUGCAAGUCGAACGGAAAGGCCCUGCUUGCAGGGUACUCGAGUGGCGAACGGGUGAGUAACACGUGGGUGAUCUGCCCUGCACUUCGGGAUAAGCUUUGGAAACUGGGUCUAAUACCGGAUAGGAGCCAUCUUUAGUGUGGGGGUUGGAAAGUUUUUUCGGUGUAGGAUGAGCUCGCGGCCUAUCAGCUUGUUGGUGGGGUAAUGGCCUACCAAGGCGGCGAAGGGUAGCCGGCCUGGGAGGGUGUACGGCCACAUUGGGACUGAGAUACGGCCCAGACUCCUACGGGAGGCAGCAGUGGGGAAUAUUGCACAAUGGGCGCAAGCCUGAUGCAGCGACGCCGCGUGGGGGAUGAAGGCCUUCGGGUUGGAAACUCCUUUCGCUAGGGACGAAGCUUUGUGUGACGGUACCUAGAUAAGAAGCACCGGCUAACUACGUG